rnacentral:rRNA from 1 species
AGUGGCGGACGGGUGAGUAACGCGUGAGAAUCUGCCCUUAGGACGGGGACAACAGCUGGAAACGGCUGCUAAUACCCGAUGUGCCGAGAGGUGAAACAUUUAUGGCCUGAGGAUGAGCUCGCGUCUGAUUAGCUAGUUGGUGGGGUAAGAGCCUACCAAGGCAACGAUCAGUAGCUGGUCUGAGAGGAUGAUCAGCCACACUGGGACUGAGACACGGCCCAGACUCCUACGGGAGGCAGCAGCGGGGAAUUUUCCGCAAUGGGCGCAAGCCUGACGGAGCAAGACCGCGUGCGGGAGGACGGCCUAUUGGUUGUAAACCGCUUUUGAUAGGGAAGAAGUUCUGACGGUACCUAUCGAAUCAGCAUCGGCUAACUCCGUGCCAGCAGCCGCGGUAAUACGGAGGAUGCAAGCGUUAUCCGGAAUUAUUGGGCGUAAAGCGUCCGUAGGUGGUUGUUCAAGUCUGCUGUUAAAGCGUGCGGCUUAACCGCAUAUCAGCAGUGGAAACUGGACGACUAGAGUGCGGUAGGGGUCAGGGGAAUUCCCAGUGUAGCGGUGAAAUGCGUAGAUAUUGGGAAGAACACCGGUGGCGAAAGCGCCUGACUGGACCUGCACUGACACUGAGGGACGAAAGCUAGGGGAGCGAAAGGGAUUAGAUACCCCUGUAGUCCUAGCCGUAAACGAUGGACACUAGGUGUUG